AAACAAAUGUAUUGGGACAAACCAAAAGGUAUAUAUAUAUAUAUAUAUAUAUAUUUUAUUUCAUUUUUAUAUAUAUAUUUUUUAAUUUAAAUAAAUAAAAAAAUAAUAAAGAAAUUUUUUAUUAUUUUUUUUCUUUUUCUUUUAUUUUCUCUCUUCUUCUUCCUCCCCGUGCGCCGCGACUCCCAUCUCCCUUCUCUCCGUUCGCGCAGCAACCGCCGCCGGCCAUCUCCAUCUUCUCUUCUCCUCUCCGCUCCGAUCAAACCCAGCCUCACCGCCGCGUCUCCCCUACUGAAGCCGAACGCCCGAUCUGCCGUCUCCAUCUCCGUUCGCAAAGCAAGACCGCGCCGUUGCUCUUCCGCCGCUGCCCGGUCCAGAUCUGCGUCGCCGUGCCCAGCCUCGCCGCCGCUGCAACCGUUUCCGCGUCCUUGCUCUGUCUCCGUCGAAGCCAAAGCCGCCGCGUGAACCAGUAACCGCCACGUCCUCCGCUCACAACCGCCGUCCAAGCCAGCCGCCGCCCAUUCCUCUCCUUUCUCCUCUGUUUUCAGCCAGCCGCCGCCGAUCCCUUCUCCUCCGUUGUCUGCACUGCCGUGUGACUCUCCGUCCGUCUCUAUACGGUCUCUCCGUCGCACGUCGUCUCUUCGCAAAGCUACUGCUCGACUUCUUCCGCGAAUAACACCUGCCGUGAACCGAACUAAAGACCCCAGAUCCAACUUUCUGCGCGUGGAGUUCCUCCUUCGUCCUGCUGCAGGAUUGGGUCGUUAGGUGUCGUUCCUGCUUUGCCACGAGUCAUUAAAUUCUGAUUGGUUGAAGGUAACGUUUGAAUUCCUUGGGUUCGCAGCAAACAAUUGAUUCUAGUUGGAACUAGUUUCGCGAAGCAAAGGUAAUAAAGGCGGCAAACCGGCGAGGGGCAGGAAGGAAGCGUGAUUGCCAUAGGAAACGUGUUAUUUGCUUUCGCUUAUGGGUUCUUCUGAGGUUUAAGAUGAAUUGAAAUUUAGUUUACAAACGUUUAUUGUAAAUAGUAUUUUUUUUAUGUUUUCUUGAAUGUUUGAAAAUCAUGCCUGACUUAAAGAUGUUUUUAAAUUAGCUUACGUUUCGUUUUAUAUCAA